rnacentral:rRNA from 1 species
UACGUAGGGUGCGAGCGUUAAUCGGAAUUACUGGGCGUAAAGCGUGCGCAGGCGGUUCGUCGUGUCGGCGGUGAAAGCCCCGGGCUUAACCUGGGAAUGGCCGUUGAAACUGGCGAACUGGAGUGUGGCAGAGGGGGGUGGAAUUCCGCGUGUAGCAGUGAAAUGCGUAGAGAUGCGGAGGAACACCGAUGGCGAAGGCAGCCCCCCUGGGCUAACACUGACGCUCAGGCACGAAAGCGUGGGGAGCAAACAGG